AUGACCGCUCCAUUCAAGCAAGUAUCAAAGGGUUCAAUCUGGAGGCAGAAACUUGAAAAAGAAGAGCUGUGCCAGUGCCGUGCACUGACGGAAGGAAAGGAAAUGCCGGGGUCAGCGUUGAAGCUUUGCCCUCGACUUCUCCAAGAAAACUUUGAGUUCGGGUCCAGUCCCAUCCUCAGUCAAGAGACUGGCAAGAGCAUUGUGGUGGAUGGGAACAUGGGGCCACCGUGGACUGAUGGCCCUUUCCCAUCAUUUGGCUAGAAUACAGCUGUUGGUUACUGGGAGCAAAAGACUUAGUGUGAGCAUGGUAGUGGUCCCCUCCCCCCAUUCAAGACUGGCUAAAAUGAACAGGUCAGACAGAGUUCAAAAGCUGAAAGCCUAAGGCUAGGAAUUGUCUUUUAAGUAAUCCGUCCCCCACCUCAGUUAAAUUUGAGUGUAGAUGUACUAGAAGAACCAGGACUUAAGCAUUAAUCUUGGUUAUUUAAAACUGCUCUGUUUGAAGUGCAUAAUUCUUAGUGGACAAUGUCUGGUUUUCUUAAUUAAUACAACUCUUAAGGAUGAAUUUGAGUAUCUUCUUUAGCCAACAUUUUCCCCUUGAAGAGACCAGUGAUGUCAGAGACCUGGACUCUGAAGCCACAAGAUCACCAUCUAGUGGUUAAA
rnacentral:lncRNA from 1 species